AUGUACAUUUGUGAUAGUCCUCUUAGCCUAUUACAUGUUGAGUAAUGUAUUCUAGUUUGAUUUUCCUUGUUAGCCAAAGAUUUCAUUAUUUUGCAGCUUAAGUUGUUUAUUUCUAGUUCCUUAAGGUGGUGAGAAGGUGAGGAGAGUGAAGAAGCAAAUUCCAUUUCAGUAAAACAGGGCGUGCAGCCUUUUGCCCUGAGUCCCUUUGUCUCAAGGCCCCUGUGUUCCGGGUCUUUUGUUGUUCUCUGCACCGACUUUGAUUCGAGAUUUAAAGAAAAACAAGUGCUGGCCCUCCUUGCGCCCUCUGGUGUCCCAAUGAGGUAUAACCGGACAAACCCCACAAAGAUCACAGCCAUUUUCACACAGCGCUCCCCCAACACAGUGAUGCCUGGGGACGGGAAUGUCGGGAAUCUUAGAGGAAGGAAUCACACACCGACAAGCACGGCAGGCUUAAUCUUUGAAACUUAAUCAAAGUCUGAAGAAGAGGGAUAUUUGGACACAAAGACACACAGGGAGAAAAAGGUCAUGUGACUAUGGAGAUAGAGAUUGGAAUGAUGUCUGCAAGCCGAGAACACCAAGAAGCCGGGAAAAAGGCAUCAGACAAUUUUUCCCUGAGAACCUCCAGAAAAUCAACACCUUGAUUUUGGACUUCUGGCCCCCUGAACUGGUUUUCCAUGUCCAGUGUGGCGACUUCCCUCAGUGGAGGAGACCAUCAGUUUCUCCAGAUGUUCCCGUUUCUGCCUUCCUAAGAACACAUUCCUAAUAUAACCAUGGCUCCUCUGAGUGUCCUCCUGUGACCACAGCUUUCUCUUCUCAAUGGCAAAGACAGCAGCUGGCUCCAACUCCUGUUUAGAUACCAGUUGGAGGCCUUCGUUGAAUGAAGGAAGAAGAUCCAUUAAAAGAGGAGAUGCCAUUCCAAGAAAACCAUGGAAGCAGAAAAGAGGAAGGCGGAAACAAAGAUGAAGAAAGAAGCUAUGUCCUCUGUGCAUGGAGACAGCAGAUCUAUUAGUAGACAGGAUGAAGAGAAAAGGUGGGAAGAAAAGCCACAUGGCUGAUGUGACAAGGAAGAAAGUGGGUCUCUCAGCUCUUCCCUUCUUGUUUUUCCCCUUUUCCCAGUGCCAAGAAAUGUAUUUUUGGGGGCUGCAUUCUUCCCACCAUAAUUUAGAAGGACGCUGUUGCCAGGUUUGAAGUCCACUUGAAACAAUAAUUGUUGUUUUUCUGCUAUACUUACCAAGAAUGACAAAACUAUUUACAUGCUGGGGAUAGCAUGCUAGAAAAAUUGCUAAACCGUAUUUUUUCCUUCUAUAAAAUCAGAGUUGCAAAGAGCAAUAUAUUAGGCAUUUUCUUUGCCAAAGAACUUUAGCUACGAUUUUCUCCUUCUUUAAAAUUCAUAUUAAUGAUCGUAGAUACCAGGUUUCUAAGGGAAAGACUCUUUGCAACAUCUUCUAUAUAUACCCUAGGUGUUUCUGUAUUGAAUUUACUUAAGAUUUAGGCUCUACAGUUUGAUCUCUAUCAUGUAAAAAUAUAUAGCAAGAAGACUCCUGGGACAAACACUGAAAUGUUUAUUUUUAAUUUUCUCUGGGCAUUGACAUUCGGGAUGAUUUUAUUUUUUCAUACUUCUUUCUAUUUUCCAUAUAUUUUACAAUCUGUAUUCAUAGCUUCAGAAAUAAAA